GAUGAACGCUGGCGGCGUGCCUAAUACAUGCAAGUCGAGCGAACAGACGAGGAGCUUGCUCCUCUGACGUUAGCGGCGGACGGGUGAGUAACACGUGGAUAACCUACCUAUAAGACUGGGAUAACUUCGGGAAACCGGAGCUAAUACCGGAUAAUAUAUUGAACCGCAUGGUUCAAUAGUGAAAGACGGUUUUGCUGUCACUUAUAGAUGGAUCCGCGCCGCAUUAGCUAGUUGGUAAGGUAACGGCUUACCAAGGCGACGAUGCGUAGCCGACCUGAGAGGGUGAUCGGCCACACUGGAACUGAGACACGGUCCAGACUCCUACGGGAGGCACCAGUAGGGAAGCUUCCGCAAUGGGUGAAAGCCUGACGGAGCAACGCCGCGUGAGUGAUGAAGGUCUUCGGAUCGUAAAACUCUGUUAUUAGGGAAGAACAAAUGUGUAAGUAACUAUGCACGUCUUGACGGUACCUAAUAAGAAAGCCACGGCUAACUACGUG
rnacentral:rRNA from 1 species